GUUCUGGAGGCCUGAGGUCUGAAGUGGAUUUGAAUGGGCUGAAACCACAGUGUCAGCUGGGCUGUACUUCCGCUAGAAGAUCCAGGGAAGAAUCCAUCCCUUGCCCCCUACAAGGAGUGGUGGUCACUAUCAACAGCUUCUGGUGGCACUACUGGCCUUGACUGAGAACCAUUGCAGGAAGAUUUGUCACAGUGAAGUUUGGAUGGAGUCCCCGCCCACUCUGUCUUAGUGCCUCCAUUUUGGGACUGGAAUGGAACCUGCCUCGAAGUUUUGAUGUGAGGAAUAGGUGCAAUUCAGGCCUGCCACGCUGGGUGUUGCUAUUCUAUGACACUCUCUUCCAUCAGAGGACUGUCUCUGCCAGGAUGUAAUAAGGUGUUUUUUUAAAUGGAGGUACACCUAACAUUAUAGUCUCAAGGUGCAUCUAUUUUUCUACAAAGGACUUGUCCUUCUUUAUGGCAGAGUAGUACUACGUUGUGUAUAAAUACUUUUCUUUAUCCAUUCAUCUAUUGAUGGAGACGUAGGCUGCUUCCAAGAUUUAGCUAUUAAGAGUUGUGCUGCUAUAAAAACAGGUGUGUCUGGACCCUGGCCAGCACAGAGGAGGUGAGCUGCUCCCAGUGCACAAGAGGAGGCUUCUGGGCCACCGUACCACCCCCGCCAGCACAGAGGAGGUGAGCCGCGUGGACACCAGCAGCAGCCCCCACCCCGUUGAAAUGAGAAGACACAUAAAAAAGCCUCAAAACCAGACUUCCAUAUCACCUACAGGAACCCCAAAGGGAAAUGAGAUGUAACACUGAUACUCAACCACCUAGACUCCCUGAACUGAGAACAAAAGAGGAUCUGGAAAAAAUGAAAUCAGAAAUAAUUUCUCAGAUAAAAGCAGAGAUUGUGCCCUGCUAGUGCAAGACAUGAUUAAUAAAUCUAGAGAGGAGCUGAGGAACAUGAUGGAAUCCCAACAUAGGAAACAAAUGGAAUCCAUAAAACAGAUGCAAACAGAUUUCUAGGAGAUUAAAAAACUCAUUGAAAGUCUGCAGCAGAAUGAGCCAAUGUGAGGAAAGAAUUUCAGAUAUAGAAGAUAAGAUUGCAAUUAGGGAGGAGGAAAAGAAAAAUUGCUUCAAAAUUGUAAGGGACCACGAGAAAUCAAUCCAGCAGCUGCUAGACGAUGCAAAGAAGAAUAACAUAAAACUGAUUGGAGUCAAUGAAAAAACAGGAGAGAGUGCAGAUGACAUAAAAAAACUGCUCACAGAAGUGAUGGCAGAAAACUUCCCAAGCAGGGGAAAAGAACUUGACAUACAGAUAAGUGAGGCAUAUAGGACUCCAACUAGCCUUGAUCAAAAACACCCCCAAAACUACACAUAGGCAUAUAAUUGUUAAGAUUCCAGAAACCCAACAGAAGAACAAAGUUCUACAAGCAGUUAGAGAAAAGAAACAAAUCACAUACAAAGGAAAACCCAUCAGAAUCAGAGCAGACUUCUCAACACAAAGCUUCAAGUCAAGAAGAUCUUGUAGUGAUGUAUUGCAAGCCCUAAAAGUAAACAGCCUCCAACCCAGAUUGAUGUACCCUAUAAAAUUAUCUUUCAAAAUUGAUGGAGAAAUAAGAUACCUUCAUGACAAAAAGCACCUUAGGAACUUCAUGAAUACCAAACCAGCACUCCAAAAAAUUUUAGACAAUAUCCUAGGAAAAGACAAUGAGUAUCACAACCCCAAGAAGCCCAGCAGAAUGAAUCCAUUGGGUGUGACAAAAAAUUAAAUGCAGAGGGGGAAAAUCCAAAAAAAAAGAGAAAAAGUCAUGACAAUGAUAAGUCAAUAUGUGUGAGUUAUAACCAUCAAUGUGAAUGGCCUCAAUUCACCAAUCAAAAGAAAUAGACUGGCAGAAUGGGUCAAGAAGCAAGAUCCAACAAUAAUUCUGCAUACAAGAAACACACUUAAUUCAAAAAGAAACUCAUAGACUGAAAGUUAAAAGGUGGGAAACAGUACUCCAUGUGACAGGAACCCCCAAAUAAAAAGCAGGAGUAGCUAUCCUCUUUGCAGAUCAAGUGGAUUUCAAACGAAAAUCUGAAACACUCUGGUUCCAUGAAUUUCAGAUAAGCGAUACUGAACUUGUAUGUACAAAUCUAUUAUGAACAUGUGUUUUUAUUCCUCUCAAGUAAAAACUUAAGAACAGGACUAUUGGUUCUUAACAGCAAUACAAGAAAUUUCUAUAUUGUUUUCCAAAAUGGUUUUAUCAUUUUACAUUCACAUUAGCAGUAUUAGUAAGUUCUAACUGCUUCACACCUAAGCUGACAUUUGUUCUUUUAAAACUUUUAACUUCAUCUCCCUAAUGAGUGUAUAAGUCAGUCUUGUUAUUGUACUGAUUAGUAUUUUUCUGAUUCUAGUGUUGCACACCUUUCCUUGUGCUGUACUGGCUAUUUGUCAUCUUCUUGUGUCUACUUUUUUUUUGUUUGUUUGUUUGUUUUUGGUACCAGG
ensembl:lncRNA